UGACUAUUAGAACAAGCAGGAAUAGAAAGAGAAGCAUUACAUUAAAGGGAAACAAGUAUUUUAAAGAAAUGGAAUCUAUUGUUAAGAAAUCAUCAGCCACUCAUUCUCAGUCCUGGGCUGCUUUCCUCACUCUCUGCAUGACUUAUAAUAUUCAUCUGAAAGCUUAAAAAUUACAUUUCUUUCACAUCUCCCCCCACCCCACGUUGAUUUCUCCCACUGUGUUACUAAUCAAAAGGAAAUUAACAUGACUGUUGAGGGUUACUUUCUUGCUUGUAAACCUAUGUUAUCAGUAGCAUCACUCUCGUAGAAUACUGUAUCAUUUGGUAGAUAAAUAGUGUAUAAAUGUGAGGGGUGUUCACAGAAAUCAUCCCAAAUCUGUACAUAUUUGUGUGCUAGUGUGCUAUUGAGGGAAUUAGAUUGUUUCCUAAUGCUGAGCAAAGUGGCAUAAUGAGACAAUUUUCUGGAUAUUUAUAAUCAAAGACUUCUUUCAACUCUGUUUCUUCCUUCCUUCCUUCCUUCCUUCCUUCCUUCCUUCCUUCCUUCCUUCCUUCCUUCCUUCCUUCCUUCCUUCCUUCCUUCCUUCUUUCCUUCUUUCCUUCUUUCUUUCUUUCUUUCUUUCUUUCUUUCUUUCUUUCUUUCUUUCUUUCUUUCUUUCUUUCUUUCUUUCUUUCUCUCUUCCUUUCUUUCUUUCUUCCUUCCUUUCUUUCUUUCUUCCUUUCUUCCUUUCUUCCUUUCUUCCUUCCUUUCUUUCUUUCUUUCUUUCUUUCUUUCUUUCUUUCUUUCUUUCUUUCUUUCUUUCUUUCUUCCUUUCUUUCUUUCUUUCUUUCUUUCUUUCUUUCUUUCUUUCUUUCUUUCUUUCUUUCUUUCUUUCUUUCUUUCUUUCUUUCUUUCUUUCUUUCUUUCUUCCUUUCUUUCUUUCUUUCUUUCUUUCUUUCUUUCUUUCUUUCUUUCUUUCUUUCUUUCUUUCUUUCUUCCUUCCUUUCUUUCUUUCUUUCUUUCUUUCUUUCUUUCAUUCUUUCUUUCUUUCUUUCUUUCUUUCUUCUUCUUCUCGUCUUCCUCUUCGUCUUCUUCUCCUCCUUCUUCUUCUUCUUCUUCUUCUUCUUCUUCUUCUCUCUUCUUUCUUUCUUCUUUCUUCUCCUCCCCUUUCUUCUUUCUUCCUUCUUUCUUUCUUUCUUUCUCUCUUCUUAACUUCCUCUCUUUCUUUCUUUCUUUCUUUCUUUCUUUCUUUCGUUCUUUCUUUUUUCUUUCUUUCUUUCUUUCUUUCUUUCUUUCUUUCUUUCUUUCUUUCUUUCUUUCUUUCUUUCUUUCUUUCUUUCUUUCUUUCUUUCUUUUUUCUUUCUUUCUUUCUCUCUCUCUCUUUCUUUCUUUCUUUCUCUCUCUUUCUUUCUUUCUUUCUUUCUUUCUUUCUUUCUUUCUUUCUUUCUUUCUUUCUUGCUUUCUUUCUUUCUUGCUUUCUUUCUUUCUUGCUUUCUUGCUUGCUUGCUUCCCUUACUCCCAAGAUCUGUGAUUUUAUUAAUAAUGAUCCAGAUGGUAAUGCCUUACAUAUAGUCUUGAAAAUUUAUAAAAUAGUAUAGCUUUUUUAAAAAAGCAAAGGGAACAGAGUUUGUACACUCUAAGCAAUUAAGCUUGACUUUGAUUCCUGAGAAAAUUCUAGAAUGGAUCAUUAAGGAGAUGAUUAGUGAAUAUCUAGAAAGGAAAGUGAUGAUUACAAAGAGUCAGCAUGGCUUUGUCUAGAAUAAGUCAUGCCAGACUAACUUCAUCUCCUUUAUCUGACAGGAUGACUAAUUUNAACAAGUUUGAGGUAUUCC
ensembl:lncRNA